rnacentral:rRNA from 1 species
AUUGAACGCUGGCGGCAGGCUUAACACAUGCAAGUCGAGCGAGCGGCGGACGGGUGAGUAAUGUCUGGGAAACUGCCUGAUGGAGGGGGAUAACUACUGGAACCGGUAGCUAAUACCGCAUACCAUCAGAUGUGCCCAGAUGGGAUUAGCUAGUAGGUGGGGUAAUGGCUCACCUAGGCGACGAUCCCUAGCUGGUCUGAGAGGAUGACCAGCCGCACCGGAACUGAGACACAGUCCAGACUCCUAAGGGAGGCAGCAGUGGGGAAUCGUGCACAAUGGGCGCAAGCCUGAUGCAGCCAUGACGCGGGUGUGAAGAAGGCCUUCGGGUUGUAAAGCACUUGCAGCGAGGAGGCGGUACUCGCAGAAGAAGCAACGGCUAACUCCGUGCCAGCAGCCGAGAUAAUAC